rnacentral:rRNA from 1 species
AUGGCUGCUACGGCCUCGUCGAUUCCGACGACGUGGUCAGAACUCCCGCCAGACGUACUAGACCUCGUCAUCGACCGCCUCGUAUCCUCCCCUCCACGGAGAGGCUUCUUCUCCUCGGCGUGGUCGCGAGUCCGACGGCUCCUUGGUUUCUCCGCUGACUUCGAGAAGGUGCGACGCGACCGUCAUUGGGUCUCUGCCGCCGAUCGAGCUCGCUUCCGUGUGGUGUGCCGUUCGUGGCAUCUGGCUAUGCGCCGGCACCUUUCGGCUUCACGGCAGCUACCUUGGAUUGUCAUGUCAGACGGCUCGUUCUACACACCUUCGGACGUUGUUUGCACCUCGCCGCCCCGGCUCCCUACCUUGCCCGGCAACACAACAUGCAUUGGCUCCACCGACGAUUGGCUCGCCCUCGACUUCACCGACGCCAAGAAGAUGCAUAGCUACUCCUUGCACAAUCCGUUUACUGGCACCACCGUGCCGCUCCCCGAGUUGGAUGCUGUCAUCGGCGAUGUUUCCGAGCUUUUCAUGGUCCGUAAAGUGCUUCUACGGCCAACACCUUCUGACAUCAUCGCUGUCAUGACCAAUAACUGCAAUCACCCUCUCAUCUUAAUCCAGACGGGGAAGGGUGUGUGGUUGCCUGAGCCACAAACUGCCCCCUUCAUCUACAUCGUUGACAUUGCUUUUCUUGGAGAUAAAUUAUAUGGAAUCACGGAGGCGGAGGACCUUGUCUCCCUCGGUAUAGAUUUUGGUAGCGAUGGUAUACCCGUCGUUACUAGCAUCGAACGCCUCAUUAGACACCCACCGGGUUAUUAUCAUUUCAGCGCGUGGAGUGAUGAUGAUGAUGACUUUGAGUCCGGAAUCAAUGAUGUGGGCAAUAAGGACAAGGUCACGAAUAUUGAUGAAGGCCAUAUCGAGGUACCAAGCAAUGAAGAUCCCGAGGAGCAUGCCUUAGAUGAACUUCGGAAGAAAACCGGCGAUGGCAUGAUUCUUGAAGGCGCAACAUGUUGGUUAGAUGAUGAGGUGCCAUAUGAACCUAAGGAUUUCGUCACCCUCAAUCGGCACUUGGUGGAGGUUUAUGAGGCGGAUGUCAAUGGAGACGCGCACUGGGUGCCGAUUUCAGGUGGGCUGGACAGUCAAGCGCUUUUCAUCAGCAGAUUCUUCUGCAAGUCCAUUUCUACCUGUGAAGACGUGGACCAAGAUGCUCUUCAUUUUAUUGACACGGGCGAGAAAUACGAUAUGAAAUCCCAAAGUCUGAGCCCCACCUGGAAGGAGAUUGACUACCAUGGGUCAAUGUGGAUAUUUUCUCCCGAGCUAGUGGUUUAA